rfam:Ciona savignyi cont_37548, whole genome shotgun sequence.
GCUUAUCACCAUUCCAGUUUGAAUAUACCCGAUCUCGUCUGAUCUCGGAAGUCAAGCAAUCUCGGGCUUGGUUAGUACUUGGAUGGGUGACCGCUUGGGAAUACUAAGUGUGAUAAGCA